rnacentral:rRNA from 1 species
GCCCCCAGAGAUAAGGGGUUCUUUUGGCACAUAGGAUCCAGGGGUGGCAGGGUAUCGUUAGUCCGCCUGGGAGAAGUUGGUAAAGCUCGCGCAAGGAGAGCAACCGUGAUCGUUAGUUCAUACCAUUAAGUUGAGGAUUAUACCGCGAAUGCCAGUGAUACCUUUGAGGAAGGGGGGGAUGAGGUCAUAUCAUCAUGCCCAUUAUACGUUGGGCUACACACGUGCUACAAUGGUGGGUGCAAAGAGAAGUGAAGCUGUGAAGUGAAGCAAGCCUCAUAAAGCCGAUCUCAGUUCGGAUUGUAGUCUGCAGCUGGGCUACAUGAAGAUGGAAUCGCUAGUAAUCGCGGAUCAGAAUGCCGCGGUGAAUUCGUUCCAGGGUUUUGUACACCCCGCCCGUCACACCAAGAGAGUUUAUAACACCGGAAGUACAUUGGGCUAACCCUUUGGGAGGCAGGUGCCUAAAAUGGGAUAGAUGAUUGGGGUGAAGUCGUAACAAGGUA